CCGAAGGUCUUCAACAUAGAAGGCUACCUGGUCCAAAGAAGAGGAGUUCAUCCGACCAUCGGCACCAGAUGCAAAGAGUUGAUACUGCUUCGGGAUGUGAUAUUGCUCCCAGAGUCGCUCAACAUUCGGCUCAGAAAGUGAAGAAGCCUCCACUUCCGAACCCGAUGAGGAGUCGUCAGCCGGAUUCGACAGACCAUCCCA
rnacentral:lncRNA from 1 species